GGCUGAGUAGUUCAAUGGAUAGAACGACGGUUUCCUAAACCGCAAAUCAGGGUUCGAUUCCCCGCUCGGCUA
rnacentral:tRNA from 1 species